AAGCAAUCGACUUACAAAAGGGUGGAUGAAUACGUGCUGGUUCUGUUAGGUUUUGAAAAAUGAUUACUCGACGUUGGAUCGAGGUUUUGAUCUUGUUAUGAAAUGGUUAUCGAAUGUUCAUUUUAAUUCUUGUAUUAACAGAUGAAUAAAGAAUGAAAGAAUAAAUAUUAUACAUUUCAUGGGAGAGGGAUACAUUUGUUGUGAAUGGGGGUUGUCAUGGCAAUCAAG
rnacentral:lncRNA from 1 species